rnacentral:rRNA from 1 species
AUACGGAGGGUGCAAGCGUUAUUCGGAAUCACGGGGCGUAAAGGACGCGUAGGCGGGUUGGCAAGUCAGAUGUGAAAUCCUACAGCUUAACUGUAGAACUGCAUUUGAAACUGCUAACCUAGAGUAUGGGAGGGGGAGAUGGAAUUAGUGGUGUAGGGGUAAAAUCCGUAGAUAUCACUAGGAAUACCGAAAGCGAAGGCGAUCUCCUGGAACAUAACUGACGCUAAGGCGUGAAAGCGUGGGGAGCAAACAGGAUUAGAUACCCUAGUAGUCC